GACGAACGCUGGCGGCGUGCUUAACACAUGCAAGUCGAACGGUAAGGCCCUUCGGGGUACACGAGUGGCGAACGGGUGAGUAACACGUGGGUGAUCUGCCCUGCACUUCGGGAUAAGCCUGGGAAACUGGGUCUAGUACCGGAUAGGACUCCUGGCUUCAUGGUUGGGGGUGGAACGCUUUUGCGGUGUGGGAUGGGACCGCGGCCUGUCAGCUUGUUGGUGGGGUCAUGGCCUACCAAGGGGACGACGGGUGGCGGGCCUGAGGGGGUGGCCGGUGACACUGGGAAGGAGAUACGGCCAAGACUCCUACGGGGGGCAGCAGUGGGGAAUAUUGCACAAUGGGCGAAAGCCUGAUGCAGCGACGCCGCGUGAGGGAUGACGGCCUUCGGGUUGUAAACCUCUUUAAGCUAAGACGAAGCGCAAGUGACGGUAGUAGCAGAAGAAGGACCGGCCAACUACGUGCCAGCCGCCGCCGUAAGAC
rnacentral:rRNA from 1 species